rnacentral:rRNA from 1 species
GACGAACGCUGGCGGCGUGCUUAACACAUGCAAGUCGAACGGAAAGGCCCUGCUUUUGUGGGGUGCUCGAGUGGCGAACGGGUGUGUAACACGUGAGUAACCUGCCCUUGACUUUGGGAUAACUUCAGGAAACUGGGGCUAAUACCGGAUAGGAGCUCCUGCUGCAUGGUGUGGGUUGGAAAGUUUUGGCGGUUGGGGAUGGACUCGCGGCUUAUCAGCUUGUUGGUGGGGUAGUGGCUUACCAAGGCUUUGACGGGUAGCCGGCCUGAGAGGGUGAACGGCCAAAUUGGGACUGAGAUCCGGGCCAGACUCCUACGGGGGGGAGGAGUGGGGAAUAUUGCAACAUGGGCGGAAGCCUGAUGCAGCAACGCCGCGUGCGGGAUGACGGCCUUCGGGUUGGAAACCGCUUUCGCCUGUGACGAAGCGUGAGUGACGGUAAUGGGUAAAGAAGCACCGGCUAACUACGUG